UACGUGCCAGCAGCCGCGGUAAUACGUAGGGCGCGAGCGUUGUCCGGAAUUAUUGGGCGUAAAGAGCUUGUAGGCGGUUUGUCGCGUCUGCUGUGAAAGGCCGGGGCUUAACUCCGUGUAUUGCAGUGGGUACGGGCAGACUAGAGUGCAGUAGGGGAGACUGGAAUUCCUGGUGUAGCGGUGGAAUGCGCAGAUAUCAGGAGGAACACCGAUGGCGAAGGCAGGUCUCUGGGCUGUAACUGACGCUGAGAAGCGAAAGCAUGGGGAGCGAACAGGAUUAGAUACCCUGGUAGUCCAUGCCGUAAACGUUGGGCACUAGGUGUGGGGAACAUUCCACGUUUUCCGCGCCGUAGCUAACGCAUUAAGUGCCCCGCCUGGGGAGUACGGCCGCAAGGCUAAAACUCAAAGAAAUUGACGGGGGCCCGCACAAGCGGCGGAGCAUGCGGAUUAAUUCGAUGCAACGCGAAGAACCUUACCAAGGCUU
rnacentral:rRNA from 1 species